AAGUCGUAACAAGGUUUCCGUAGGUGAACCUGCGGAAGGAUCAUUAAUGAAUGAACUUGAAUGGAGUUGUAGCUGGCUUCAGCAAUGGGGCAUGUGCACACUCUGUUCAUCCAUCUUCACACCUCUGUGCACUUCUCAUGGGUUGGGUUGCGCCUGAAAUAUGGCAAGGCUCUUCUUAUGUGCUCACACACACUUUAAAAGUUUAUAGAAUGUAACAAACGUGCAUUAAUGCAUAUAAUACAACUUUCAGCAACGGAUCUCUUGGCUCUC
rnacentral:misc_RNA from 1 species